AACAGCUAUAGACUACACGGUAAAUAUUUUAGUUGGAUAACUGAGGUAAUUCUUGAGCUAAUACACGCUAUUUAUACCACAUUAGUGGUGCGUUUAUUUGAUUAAACCAUUAUAACGGUUGACUCAAAAUAUCCUUGCUGAUUUUGUUACUAAAACAUACCGUAUGUGUAUCUGGUUUAUCAACUUUCGAUGGUAGGGUAUUGGCCUACCAUGGUUGUGACGGAUAACGGAGAAUUAGGGUUCGACUCCGGAGAGGGAGCCUGAGAAACGGCUACCACAUCCAAGGAAGGCAGCAGGCGCGAAAAUUACCCAAUUUUAGUUCAAAGAGGUAGUGACGAAAAAUGACAACCAAAUAUUAUUAUUAAUAUUUGGAUUGAAAAUCUUCAAGUUUAAAUAACUUGUUGGUAAAGGAAAGGGCAAGUCUGGUGCCAGCAGCCGCGGUAAUACCAGCUUUCCAAGUGCAUAAAAUGAUUGUUGUGGUUAAAAAGCUCGUAGUUGGAUUAUAAAGAUUGUAUAAUGAGCAUCUUGGAUGUUUUAAUUUCAUUAUCAUCUUAUUAUUUUUAUUAUAUUCCUUUAAAAGAAUAUAAUAAACUGUUACUUUGAAUAAAUCAGAGGGUUUAAACCAGGCAUUUAUAUGCUUGUAUGGUCUAGCAUGGAAUAACACUAUAGAAAAAGUUAGUGUGGUUUCACUAAUCUUUUUCAUGAUUAAUAGGAACAAACGGGGGCAUUCGUAUCGCUACGUUAGAGGUGAAAUUCUUGGACCGUAGCGAGACGUCCUACUGCGAAAGCAUUUGCCAAGAAUGUUUUCAUUAAUCAAGAACGAAAGUUAGAGGUUCGAAGGCGAUCAGAUACCGCCCUAGUUCUAACCGUAAACUAUGCCUACUAGGUGUAUGAAUUAUUAGUUAUAAUAAUUUAUGCACCUUCUCGGAAACGAAAGUCUUUCGGUUCCGGGGGAAGUAUGGUUGCAAAGCUGAAACUUAAAGGAAUUGACGGAAGGGCACCACCAGGAGUGGAGCCUGCGGCUUAAUUUGACUCAACACGGGAAAACUCACCCGGGCCGGACACUAUAAGGAUUGACAGAUUGAUAGCUCUUUCAUGAUUUAGUGGUUGGUGGUGCAUGGCCGUUCUUAGUUCGUGGAUAUGAUUUGUCUGGUUG
rnacentral:rRNA from 1 species